AGGGGUGUAGUUUAAUGGUAGAACAGCGGUCUCCAACACCGUACGUUGUGGGUUCAAGUCCUGUCACCCCUG
rnacentral:ncRNA from 12 species